GGAUCAUGUGACGAAAGACGGCUCCUGGGUCACGUGACCAAUACAGGCGGCAGGUAUGUAAAACUACAUAAGACCAUUCUAACCAAAAAUAUAAUUUACCGGAAAAAUACCUCGGAAAAUUCUAAAUAAAUGAAGCCCGCGGACAAUGCAUAUUUGAAUUGUACCGUAGUUAAGUUGGAGGUACCCUGGCGGUGGUCCAGUUUAGAGAAAAUGACGCGUGGAACUGGGCGGUGAGCUCCUCUGUCAUGGACAAAGGCAAGGCAAGGCAACUUUAUUCAUAUAGCCCUUCUUAUACACGAGGCAGAAUCAAAGUGCUUCACAUAAAAACAUUGUCAUACAAUAACAUGAAAUUAAAUAAAAUGGAUCAAUAAAAGAAAACAAAGGCAAACUAAAUAAAAGCAAACAUAUAAGUCUUCAGUCCUGUUUUUAAAAGUGGUCAGAGUUGGGGCAAGUAAAUCCUCAGGGAGGUUUUCAUUUUAGUACCAUCUCGGUUUUGUCCUCAUUUAGUGGAAGGAAAUUUUGAGAAAGUCUUUGACUUUCUCAAUGCACUGGCACAGCAGAUAUAGGCCUAUGGGCCGAUAGUCAUUUGGUGAUAGCGCUACAUAGAUUUGCGAACAAAGGGUAGCCUAUUUGUGUCUUUUGUGAUUAUGGCCUAGUUACUGCUCUCAGGUCAAGGUCCACGCCGAGAGAUGUGAUAACCGUUGCCAUCGCUGUGGUUGGACUUUUGACCACGUCAAUCGUUUCAGAUUAAACUUUUUAACAUAGGACCGAUCAGAAAUGUUACGCAUGCUACGAAAAUACAAAAGACCAUUAAAAUGACAUAAACAAUCGCAAUCUCAUUAUAUUCAGACAACGACCAUGAACCAGAUUUAGAUUCAACCUGAACUGCUAGAUUAAGAGCUGCUGUUAAUGUUAGAUCAUUAUUUUCCAGUAACAGCCUUUGCCUAAUUAAUUCAUUUUUUGUGUGCAGUAUCAGUUGGUCCCUUAUCAUUUCGUCCUGUAACGCCCCGUACUUGCACAUGGUAGCCAGCAUCCCUAAUUCAGCCGCGAACCUCUCCACUGACUCCCAUGGACGUUGGCGCCUGCGUCGGAAUAUGACGCGACGGAGCAGAACACCUUUAGGAGCGGGGUAAUGUGCUUUCAUGAGCUCCACGGCCUUUGCGAAAGUAGGCGCGGGGCCAAGAGUUCCCAACACGCGCUGUCCCUCCGCUCCCAGACAGUGCAGCAGCAGUGCACGGUACCUCCACUCCGGAACAGUGUCCAGGCCGGCAGCGGUGAUAAACGUUUGGAACAAGGUAAUCCAGAGGGGCCACGGCACCGGUGGUUCUCCCGGCAGGGCUAGGAAGGGGAGGGGGUGGUAGGCAGCAUCCAGCCAUCCUCGUCGCCAAUGUUGUUAUGUUUCAAUAAUGGAGACUGAGAAAAGAUCCAACGUCGAAGCUGUUAUGUUCGUUCCUUAGCCUAUUAUUCUACUUCCUGUAGUUUGGUCUGGCUGGUAGGUACACAGUAAAAUUACAAGAGUAACAUUUCCGUAGUUAAAAUUAUUUUACUCAAACUGUAUUUUUUGCUCUGAUUUGAGGUGAAAGAACAAAACAAGAGUUGAGAGACACGCAGAGUUAGAUCUGAAUAACGGAGUCAUAAUUUUGACUCCUCCCAGAGGGCAACGCAGUUAAGUUUCGUUUUGUCCGCCAUUACGCCGAUGGUCAUUUCAGCUGCAACCGAUCUGGAUAAAAGUCUGGAAAGUCUGCUAGGAAAAUAACAACGAUGGAGGCAACUGUUAGGGUGAAAUAUAAGGACAGAAAGAAGUACUUCUUCCUAACAUCACCUUUUCAAUUCGAAGUAUUUUUGGAAAGUGAUUCCUUCAGUUCUAGUACGAUUGGCGAUGGUGAGGCUUCCUUCAGUUCUGGUACAAUUGGCGAUGGAGAGCCUUCAUCAGGAUCUGAUGACACAGCAAUAGUGAUCAGAAAUCCCUCAGAAAAAAGACAUGAAGAGGACCGUCGUCUGGGUCGAGUAAGAUCAAUAGAUUGUUUAUGUCCUUUUUGUAACUUUGUUGCAACCAUAUAUAUGCUCUUGUUAAUCUGUGUACUCUGUGUGUUCUCUGUGUACCUGUCAAUUGUCAAUCACCUCUCCCAAGAUGAUUGAGGACAUCCUCAAGAGUAGCCCUGGAGGUGAUAAGAUCACACAUGAGUAUGCUCGCACAAAAACAUUGUCAGAUGCAGAGCCGGACAGUAACGGAGUACAUUUACUUGAGUACAGUACUUAAGUACAAUUUUGAGGGAUCUGUACUUUACUUGAGUAUCAUUUUUUGGGAGUACUCAUGACUUUACUCAAGUACAUUUGAGAGGCAAAUAUUGUACUCUUUACUCCGUUACAUUUCUAUCCGUAACCGUGAGUACCCGUUACUCCUUCUGAAAAAUAAAAGGAGAAAAGAAAAAUCACGGAAACCCUCAAUUUGUUGUUUCCCUCUCAAACGUGAUUCCCUCUCAAACUGAUUAGGACAGCCUUCAGCCUAUCAGCAAUCACCUUCGCUUUCAGCCAAAGCCAACUCCAUGGUCAGAAUUAGAUGAGAGACGAUUGUUGGAUAAAAACGGAGAAACUCACACAUACAUAGAAUUGUUAGCUGAAUUUUCUUUUCUGAUAUUGCAUAUUUAUGUAAGCUGAGCAAUUGUUUUUAUGUUCUUGAGUAUACUGUAUACUAUUGUGCUAUUGCCAUGGUAAAAAGAUGAAAAUUACUUGAUUUUACUUUCAAUUCCUUUUACAUUCCCCAAGGUGUUAACAUUUUUCAUAACUCCAUGUAGGACGUUUCUAUACAUAAAUGUAAGCACUGUGGCAGUAGUAAUGCAAUAUUUAGAAAACAUACUCUUGUACUCUUGAUACUCAAGUACUUUUAAAAACAAGUACUUCAGUACUUUUACUUAAGUAGACAUCUGACUGUAGUACUUUUACUUGUACUUGAGUAAAAUUUAGCAAGGGGUAUCUGUACUUUUACUCAAGUAAGGAAGCUGUGUACUCUGUCCGCAUCUGGUCAGAUGUCAGAGGACGUGACCUAGUGAAGAUACUAGUUGCACAUCUGACAAAUGAGCAUGGGUAAUUUUUUUUUCAUAAACUCACAAGACCGAUAUUAAAUGAAUCUUAGUUGUAUUUUGGACAGGAUGGUAAUUUGAUUUGUGUGUAUAGCACAAGCCCCCCUAGGAGAUUGAAGGAGGAAUACGCCAAAGGAAUCAUCUGCCUUUUUCCUUACUUGGCUGACCCCCGGAGCAAGCUUGGCUAUGAACAUUUUUAUAAUGCUGAAGAUGGAAGUGGGUAUUUGGCUUGGAGAAUCAAAACUCUGCAGAAAGAGGUGUCCGAGGGGCGAAUGAAACGGUCACGACAACUUCAAACAGGCCAGUGAUUAAUUUGGAACUUGACCACUCGUUUAUUUGGUCUAGGUUUUCUUUUGAGUAUUAAACUGGCAUGUUGUCCCAAACCUUUAGGUGAGCCAACUUCACACAGGGAUCCAUUGAAAGAAGACAUCCAAUGGGACGAACAGCAGUGUCAAGAAGCAAUUGCCCUGAUGAAGCAUUCUACGGAUGAAGUUGUAGUGAAGGAGAAAAUGAGGCUAACCCUGGCCUAUCGUCAGAAGUUGCUGCACGAUCCUGAGAACUCAGCCGACAUCCUAUCUGUUUUUCCUCGUUUCUUGGACAUUCCAGGUUUGAUUGUUCAAGAUUUCAGGAGUCUUUUUGGUGACGCAACCUCUGCAAAGAUGUUGGAAAAGUGGACCACCAACUUUCAAGCAAAGGUUGUAACUCAGUGUCGUGGGCUUACACUGACUGGAGAUGUACAAGACCUCAUCCAAAAUGCUGAAGCCACUGAAGUAGAUGAUGGCUGGGACAGUGACAUGUCAUCAAUGCUGUUGCUGGUUCACCUUCUGCCACCUUCAAGCCAAGGCGGAAAAAAAACCAGGGAAAAUCUCAGCCAGACAAGCAUGCGACAGUCUUGUAAAAUUCAUCAAGGUGAGCUUUGUGUGGAACAAAAAGGGUUGGAAAAUACUUCCUCUUUUAUGGGGGAUUAUCACGCUGAUACGUAGUACUUCCGCAUUCGGUGUUCAUUGUGCACUGUGACAUCCCGUGAAUCACUCAUCACUCUGGCGAACUGAUGAUGGAGGACCGGCAGUUCACUUUCACGACAUCCCUGGUAAAUGUACCCAAAGUCACGUUUUCUGAAGUUCACAGACUUACCGAACAACACUCCAUAACAGCCCGCUCCAAACUGGACAAGGGAUUGUUUAUUUUUCGAGAAAUAUAUCGACUACGAAUGUGAGUGUCUGCUAGCUAGCUUACGCUACGUAGGUUGGCUUAUGCUAACGUCAGUUUGGCGUCAGCUCAGUCUGGAGGGAUGAAAUGAUGAGAUGAAAAAUAAGGUAGACUUCUUUGGUACAUAUAUGAAUGUGUAUCUUCAGCAGAAAGUGAAAUGAAUGUGAAAUGAACUGAAUGAAUAAAGGAACUGAAAGAAUAAAAGGAUUUAAUUCAUUCCCUUUUUCUGAGUACAUCAUUUACUACAUUAUAUAUUAACAUUAUUUUGAAUACUUUCAGGAUGGACUGACUGGACUUUAAAAUUGAUUAUAGAUGAAAGACUUCUCAUUCAAUUAAAUACAUGUCAUUCAAUAUGUUUUCAGUGUGCAAAAUUACAGCUCCGGGAAAAAAUGAAGGGAGAACUCCAAAUGUUCAGUGCCACUGCCUCUUGUUUUAAUAUUUACAUAUUAUAUUUAAUAUUUAUAGGUACAUGUUUGAGUAGAAACACUAUUCAACAGGGAUGUAGCCUUUUAAAUCAAGUGGUCCCUGGAAGUUGGUCAUCACACAGCAGACGGUCCACAGCUGAUUGACUGUCACAGACAAGGGUGGUACAAUCAACGUUGCCCCACGAUCAGCUAGUGGCUUCUCGAUGGUGAAACCCUUGUCUGCCAUGCAGCCAUCUCCUAGCUCCAGUAAAUCCAGAAGUCCACUUCGUUUAGUCAGCUCUGGGUCGGAGAUGGAGCCGGUGAAGAGACUUGACACAAAAGUCACAGCACUACAAGGGGCAAUCCCAAUCAAGGCCUUAAAGGUUGUUGUGUUCUUGUAAGAUGAUGUUCGGGUAAUCAUCGACUGCACCUCGGUGCAGUCGAUGAUUACCCGAACAUCUGGACUGUACUGCACAAAUUUGCUUGGCAUGGUGUUCUUGACUUGCUGUUUACUCAUCCAGAUGGGGAGGGAGCCAAGGAGCAGGGGAGGGAGCCAAGGAGCAGCCAUUGUUGAAGUGCGCCGGAAGUGUUCAUGCACAACGAAGACAAAUCCCGCCACCGGAACCAGGAAGCGUGAUAAUCCCCUAUUAUGCUAAUAGUGCAGGGCCAUUGGAUUGGGACCAGCAUCCAAGGACACCUGGACAACAUCUCUGGGAGUCUCCAGCCAUACCUACUUGCUGUUGGUGCCAAGAAGAGCAUGAUCGAGUCUUACUACAUCGUGAUCGACAAACAUGCUCUACCCUGUAAGACCUCAACUUCAUUGGCUUGUGUUGAUGAACUUUUCAAAGCACAUUUCGUCUUUGGCACAAGAUACUGUCAGGAAUUGACCAAUGUGUACACCUUUCUGCAAACCACUGUCUAUGACAUAGAUGUGGAAAACACCAAGGUAAAUCCUAGAGUUGCAGAGUUGAGGGCCAGGAUGCUGAAGUAAACUCCUAUGAUCUGCUUCAUUUGUCUUUGUCCCGGAAAAACUCUCAGGUUAAAAUGUGCUCAAAGGGGUUGUGCACAUGUAUAUAAUAGUUUUUCUGGAUUACGAAAGCAUCUCACUAAGUGUUCUUUGCGUGACAGUUCAAGUGUUAAUGAAAGUUCAUCUUCAGCAUAGGAGUGGAGAAUGAGAUGCCUGUGUUUCAUGUAGUCCAGAAUAUUGUUGUAAGAGAUUAGUGUUCUUUUUAUAACGACUGCUAUGAAAACUCUUUAUUUAGAGGAACAUGUCCAUGCUUUCAAGGUUAUGCACACCACAGAAGCACCCAUUGUUUUGGAAUUUAAAGACCUUUUGCACCACAAGUCUUCUGAUUUUUUUUAUGUGGUCUUGAUUCAGAUUUGUUUAUAAUCCAUUAUUUUUUCAUGCAAUGCUUUUUGUUUAGAAUGAUGUCAACAGUGUGCAUGUGCACAUAUGGAAUGAUAAUUUUCUAUUGAGAGCAAAUAUUUGGUGCCAAAUAAAAGGACAUGUGGG
ensembl:lncRNA